rnacentral:lncRNA from 1 species
UUUUUUUUUUUUUUCUUUCUACUUGCAUCUCUUUUACUAGAGGUGUGCCUGAGGAGCUGUUCAGACGUGUGACGGAAGACACUCAGUCUCCUUUCCGUGCUUGGCUUUGGGCAAUUAUUUUCAAAGUCUGUGAAAAAGUGCGUGCUUUGUCUUUAUUUUCAGUCUGUCUCAGACCCGUAUCUUUUAGUAAAAUACAAUUUUUAAAAAAGGAUGAGCCAAAUGAAAUAGAAACCCAAAGAUAUGUAAAAUAGAAGCCUCAAGUUGUUGUUGUUUUUUUUUGUUUGUUUGUUUUGUUUUGUUUUGUUUUGUUUUUAUGACUCAGCCUGACAGAUACAGAAUUGCUCUGGCCACUUGUUGUGGAUAUGUGUUUGCACUUCUGGAGCUGGCUGGUGCUGGUGCUAACGCUUUCAAGCAACAUUAAAGGACUGCUCACUCCUUCCUUCUCCCACCACCACACUCUUUGCCAUGAGGGGGGACAAUGCAGAGGUUUAGAUUUCUGCUUUUAUAAUCCAUACAUUGCUGAUUUUUUUUUCUCGUUAUAUUAAAUAUUUCUAAUGGCGCCACACUGCUCAGGAAGGAUGUGAUUCCUAGAGGUGACUGGGCAGCUAAUACUCAGGCAUGGCAACUCUCUUCUCCUUUUGCCCAGAGCAGGGUCGCCUGGCUCAUUGUUUUCACUGUGGACCUUGAGCGCAGAGACCAGGAUGGCAGGCUGGGGCAGUGGGAAGAUGAGAUGACUGUGCAGUAAAACUGUGCGGAGCGGAACCACCUUCCAGGCCUUGCCAGGACCCGGCCCCUAACACCACCUCUUGGAAAAGUAAUGAGAUGAGAACAGAUGGGGGAAGUCAGAGCCGAAGGGACAUCAUCCCUGCGGAGGGAUCUGGGGCCAAGUGAAGUUCUUGUUCCUGGUUCCCUGUAGUCAGUGGCUGGGUGGCAAUUUUGUCCUUCUCCACUCUGGGCUGGAAAACAGACAUAGACUCUGCUGUUUCUCCUAUGCUCCUGAAUUGAAGUUAACUUGUGUGACUUUCAUCAGCCAGAGCCCCCUGCAGGUGUCCUUCACCGAGUAGGGCGACUCUGUGCCACUGCGUUGUCAGAUGUCCCAGGAGUAGACGCUGGGCUUCCGUGGAACAGCUGUUACAUGGGAUCAUGUUAGGCUGCUGAGAAACAUCACCCCUUCCAGAGUCACAUAAGUGACAGGAACUCAUGCUGUCAUGUAUCUGUCAUGCUGUGCCUUCUUACGAAUGGCUGGCUUCCUGCCGAAGCCCAGAGAAGUGCUUAGAAAUGGUUCUCCGACCAGGAGCUGGAGUUGUAGAGUGUGGCCACCACUGAGCUCUGCCGGCUCAGGCCUCAUGUUGGCAAGUUACUUCAGCCUCUUCAGCUUCAUCAUACACAGCCCUCCUUCGCCUGGGAGGUGGGGGCGGGGCGUGCCCAUUGGUGAUUUAUUGGCAGGGAGAGUUAGGUUCAGUGUUGCUUAGGAGCCCUGAAGCGCUAUGGUGGUGUUUGCGUGCUCAUAACCGGGAUGGCCAUUCAUAACACUCAGGGAGAUGCCCAGUCCGCAGCCAGAAAACACUCCUGGCCGUCUGCCUGCUCCCUCCACUCACAGCUCAGGAAUUACUAAAAAUGUGAACGAAGCAUUCUCUGGCCUGACUCGUUCGUAGUCAGCAGCUGAUUCCGGAGACAGACGUGUGAGUCCCUGGCUCUGCCCUCACUGGCUCAGUGAGCUUGGCAGCUUUGCCUCAACAUUUCCUUGUGUAGGAUGCAAGGACUCUCUGCCUUGGGUUUGUGGGGGAGAUCAAAGGAGCAUACAGAUGUGCGGUUCUUGGAGCACUGAGUACACACCAUUCCCCAUCCUUCCUCAUUUUCCCAAGUUUAUUCAGUGAGCAGAUGUGUCAAGUUCUUUCUAUGGAAAGCACUGCUAGGGGGAGGCAUACGAAUCAGACAUAAUCACUUCCUGAGGAGAGACUGGAUCUUCUGUAGAGCUGGCGGGCUUCUCUGUAGAGAGCUAGUCGUAGAGUUUAGAUUUUGUGGGUCAUAGUAUCUCUGCAGCAAGUCCGUGAUCCGAUUGUUCUCUCAGAACGUAGUUGCCACGAUUACCUGACUGGUCACAGCGGUAUUAUAACAGUUAAAGUUUAUAUAAGCAUCUGGAAGCACAGGCAGAGUAGGUCUGUGAGCGGCACAUAGGCAUCUAGUAGGGUGACGUGUCAACUAAUAAGUUACUCUGUUACAAAUUGGGAUAAGUGCCGAAAGGAAACAGAUAGGAAAGGUCUGUGUCUUAGGAGAAGACUGGCUUCCAGGCAGCUAGGAUGAAGGUCUUAAAGCCCAUGCCCACAGUGACUCACCUACUCCAACCAGGCCACACCCACUCCAGCCAGGCCACACCCACUCCAGCCAGGCCACACCCACUCCAACCAGGCCACACCCACUCCAACAAGGCUGCACCUACUCCAACAAGGUCACACUUCCAAAUAGGGCCACUCCUUGCGACAAGCAUAUUCAAACCAUGACAGUCUGUAAGAAGGAAGGUCAAGGACUAUGGGACAUUGCAGCCACAGGAUGAGUUGGAGACAGCUGGAGAGGGAGAGACAGGGUACAGCUCUGAGGGAUGGGACCAUGGUCUAGACUGUUCCCUGCAAGGGUCUCUCCCCUCAGUCUGUUUUGAAGGAGUAGUGGGUGUGCUUCAGCUUGCACUUUUGCUCUCUCUAACCCAAGUCCACUUUUCCCCUCACUUCUUCCUUCCAUAGCCCUAUCACAGGGAGAUGAGCUGCAUAUGACAGACGAAGACACUUUUGUUCUUCAUAGUCCUGGUCAUUACACCCUCUCUCUCCAUGUUCCCUUGCUUUGUUAUGUUGUUUGUAGUAUCUAGGCAGGAAUUUAAAAGUUGGAGGUGGUAAGAUUGCACCUUAUUUUAUUGUUUAGUGAUAACUGAUUCAUUCCUUAAAAAUCCGUUCUCAUUUUGCCUUUUAAAAUUUAACGUAACUUUAUUACUUGGGUAAAGGCUUGGACACAAUGAUGAAAUGCCUUUUUUUCCUUCACAUGUCCUGUUUCUGCCAGCUCCACAGAUUCAUUUCCUCCAAGCAGGUUGCAUGCCCUAUAAAGGUUUGCUUUAUUUUGUUUUACUCAUGUGUAUGGUUAUGUUCUAGCAUUGUGUGUCUGCACCAGGUAUGUGCCUGGCUCCCAAGGAGGCCAGAACAGGGAGUUGGACCCCCUGGGAUUGGAGUUACAAAAAGUUGUGAGCCUCCCUCUGGGUGCUAGCAAUCAAAUCCUGCUCUUCUUGAAAGAGCAGCCAGGGCUUUCAACUGCUAAGCCAUCUCUCCAGCCCCUGAUGAACAUUUUGUAUAAGAGGACUGGGAUGUUUUCCCUUUCAGAGGAUGCCUCUGACAUAGGGGUGCUCCUGUAUCACACCAAUGUCGUCCCUAAUGGAUGAGCUCUGAUUCAAUGAGAGGUCUGGUCUCGAAAAAUAUGGUGGAGUGACUGAGCCAGACAGCCAGCAUCAUCUUCUUACUUCCAUAUGUUGGCACACACCCACAUGUACAUGUAUGUAGAUACACACACACACACACACACACACGGGAGAAUAACUAUAAUUGUUGUAAGGACUACAGUGAGUACACAGAAAUCCCUCAGAGCGGUGCCUACUCAGUCAAUACCCCUUCCCACUUAUCUGCUGUCUUGAUUACACCUAAGGCACCAGGAUCCUUAUUCCUUCUGAGCCUUACUGGGGCUCUGGACUCAUUCUAAAAACUUGGGCUACAUCCUUUCACUUGUCUAUGGGAUGACCUUUGUCACUGGAAGUCCAGGGCGACAGUCUUUUUGAACCUUUCAUUGUUCUACAGACAUCUCAUUGGUAGAGUAGCUUUUUGAACAUAGAAUUAGAGUUUUACCGGCAACAUCCUCCAUGCCUGUCAUCUGUUUUAAUUCAACUCUCUAUAACCAAUGCCUUCCUCUGUGUGUAUUUAGAUAUAAUCUUAGGCCCUCCCUGGGUCUCCUUUCUACUUUGAACAAAAUAGAAAGAGAGGUGACAUGUCCUGAGCUACGGGAGCUGCCUGGGGGAGAUUCAGGGCAAGGGCAUUUGCUUCUCUGGCACUGGGUUUACACCUGUGGUGUGGUCUAGCUCACUUCCCAGGAUGCCUCCUGGCCUCCCUGGCUUUGGUUUUGGCUCACACAUUGCAGCAAUGUUCUCGGCACUUCUUAUAGACCUUGACCUUAGUGUGAUGCUGUGUUCUAAUUAUUUCUUUCUCUCUGGCAACCUCCCUCCCCUGGAGGAAUUCUAACUUGUGUUCCUUAUAAAUUGCUUUUAAAAAUGGCUUUAAGAAGACCGUUCUUUCUGUGCCAUCCUAUGCGCUCAUGAUUCAUCUUUCGAGAGUUGUUUGUUGCGAGUGUCGGAGGCCCCCUCGGUCGUCUCCGGAGGUGCUUUGAAAAGCUAACAUUAUGGUCUUGUUGGAACUGGUCCCAGCUCAGAUUCUAUUUUUAAUAAGAUUCUUUGUAUUGUUUUUCAAAACGUUCCCACUUUCGCUCACUGACUGAAGUAAGAAUUUUGUUUCUUAUGCUUCCGGAUCCUGUGAUUUUUCCCACAGGGAUCGGUUCUUUGUUCAGCCCCUGGACAUAUAGCGUUUAUAUUUUCAGGGCCUCCGAUUUUCCUUUUGUGCCAUUGUCCUAGGUGCCUGCAACAGGAGGCGAGGCUUUGUGUAGAAAACGCACUUCAGGACUGAUACAGUACUGAUAACCUUCACUGUUUGCGUCACCUCUCUGUUGUCCUGUGGAAUAGGCAGGCCGGACAUCAGCACCAGGAACUCUGAGCUCCUAGAGAGGUGAAGGGACAGAGCUCCAAGACAAACACUGGUAAGAAAAGGCAGGCAACAGUGACGGAGGUGGCCUUAGCUCACUACUGUAGAGGAUUAGUUUACCAAACUUUUAUUAAACAUGCUAAAUAUAAGUUCCUAAAUAAUACAUCUCCAUAUAAAAUGUUACGAGUUAAGAGGAUUUAAAAAAAAGAAAUCUCUUAGAGCUAGAGAUGGUUCAGUGGUUAAGAGUACUUGUUGCUCUUGCAGAGGACCCAGGUUCAGCUUUCAGCAGCCAUGUGGUGAUUUCCAGCCAUCUGUCACUUCAGUUCUAGGAGAUCUGAGGUCCUUGUGACCACCAGGCACCUAGUAGUCCACCUAUACACAUGCAGGUAAAACAUGCAUAUGCAUAAAAUAAAUACAUUUUU